rnacentral:sRNA from 2 species
CACAACCAUCCGCGAACUCAUUCGUACGGCAGGAGCGGGGGACCCAGGUAAGUCGCCGGACCGGUCGGCACACGUCGCAUCGGAACGGCUAGGGGUGAAGCCGCGCCUUCCCGCGAAGGCACGGCCGGGCACCUCCCCGCCCGAACCCGACAGCUCACCUCGCAGGCGACGGAGAGGAACU